GAAACAUCCUUUGGGAAAAAAAAGUCCAAAAUCCUGGGAACAUCCUAUAAUCCUAGAAACAUCCUUAAAGUCCAGAAAUUCCCCAAAAUCUAAGUAGUCCUAGAAAUGUCCUAAAAUCCUGACGUCAUGGCAGGCGGGGCAGCGAAAGUCUUCCUCUGACAUCGAGGCCGUCGUCUUCUGAGAGAAGCUGAGCUCGCAGCAGGCUGACAGGAGGUGGUGUCGCUCCCACACACUAACUUUCACUCUGAGUUCUUCUUCAGAAAACUCUCUUUCCAUUUGUGGAGUCAGCAGAGCCCCAGAUGUCCCAGCGGUCCCAGUAUGUCCUGCUGAAGUUGUCCUCUGUCAGCUGAAGUCUCCUGUGGGUCUGAAUCUUUUGCUCUUUGUUUGUUGCCGGUAAACAGACUCAACAAACUGCAUUUCCUGGUGUGUCUCAGGUGCCACUUAUUAUUUUCCAAGAUGGAACAGUAUGGAAAGUCUACAAACUACAAAAGAUCUGGAGAAUUUGUCCACUCAGGUCAGCUCAGAGAGCGGGCGUUCCUGUUGGCCGCUCUACAGAUCAGGUGAGCGUGCACGUUCCUUCAGGUGGUGCUAAGAUGUAUUUGUACGACUUGAAAAUGGAUUCAAACUGAACAUAAAACUCCACCUCAAAAAAUAUAUGCAUUCUUUCCUACAUUGUAUUGCAACUGUUGCACAACAACUUCCCUCAGGAUAAAUAGAAAAAUUUAAUUAGAUUGUUUCUUAAAACCAU